GCUGGGCACGGUGGUGCAUGCCUGUAAUCCCAGCAGCUCGGGAGGCUGAGCAGGAGGAUCGUGAGUUCAAAGCCAGCCUCAGCAAUGGCAAGGUGCUAAGCAACUCAGUGAGACCCUGUCUCUA
rnacentral:sRNA from 1 species